CAAUAGCGUAUAUUAAAGUUGUUGCAGUUAAAAAGCUCGUAGUUGAAUUUCUGUCAGGAGUGACCGGGCCUUUGGAUGAACUUCCAUUGUUUUUUGCUCUGUUUGUCAUCUCUAGACAUCCUGAAAUAUUUUUUAAAAAUAUUUCUCUUUUACUGUUAGCAAAAUAGAGUGUUCCAAGCAAAGCGUAGUUUUGAAUACAUUAGAAUGGAAUAAUAAGAUAGGACUUUGGUGCUAUUUUGUUGGUUUGCACACCAAGGUAAUGAUUAAUAGGGACAGUUGGGGGUAUUCGUAUUUAAUUGUCAGAGGUGAAAUUCUUGGAUUUAUGAGAGACGAACUACUGCGAAAGCAUUUACCAAGGAUGUUUUCAUUAA
rnacentral:rRNA from 1 species